rnacentral:snRNA from 1 species
AAAAAUAUGGAACGCUUCAUGAAUUUGCAUGUCAUCCUUGUGCUAAUCUUCUCUGUAUCGUUUCAAUUUUAGUAUAUGUGCUGCCGAAGGGAGCAC